rnacentral:rRNA from 1 species
UACAGAGGGGGCAAGCGUUGUUCGGAAUUACUGGGCGUAAAGGGCGCGUAGGCGGCCUUCUAAGUCGAACGUGAAAUCCCUGGGCUCAACCCAGGAACUGCGUCCGAUACUGGAAGGCUUGAAUCCGGGAGAGGGAUGCGGAAUUCCAGGUGUAGCGGUGAAAUGCGUAGAUAUCUGGAGGAACACCGGUGGCGAAGGCGGCAUCCUGGACCGGCAUUGACGCUGAGGCGCGAAAGCUAGGGGAGCAACGGG